rnacentral:tRNA from 1 species
UGGCUCAGUUGGAAGAGCAUGUGACUGUUGAUCACAGGGCUGUGAGUUCGAGCCCCAC